AGUCAAGUAAUUAAGUGCAUGUGGUGGAUGCCUUGGCAGUCAGAGGCGAUGAAAGACGUGAUAGCCUGCGAAAAGCUCCGGGGAGGCGGCAAAUAUCCUUUGAUCCGGAGAUGUCUGAAUGGGGGAACCCACCUACUUUAAGGUAGGUAUUGCAACAUGAAUACAUAGUGUUGCAAGGCGAACGAGGGGAAGUGAAACAUCUCAGUACCCUUAGGAAAAGAAAUCAAUUGAGAUUCCCUCAGUAGCGGCGAGCGAACGGGGAUCAGCCCAUUAAGUUAUGUGUGUUUUAGUGGAACGCUCUGGGAAGUGCGAACGUAGAGGGUG
rnacentral:rRNA from 1 species